AUGUAGCUCAGUGGUAGAGCACUGGCCUGUUGUGCAUGAAACCCUGGGUUUGAUCCCCUGCAU
rnacentral:tRNA from 1 species